rnacentral:rRNA from 1 species
AUUGAACGCUGGCGGCAUGCCUUACACAUGCAAGUCGAACGGCAGCGGGCCUUCGGGUGCCGGCGAGUGGCGAACGGGUGAGUAAUGCAUCGGAACGUGCCAUUGAGUGGGGGAUAACGUAGCGAAAGUUGCGCUAAUACCGCAUAUUCUGUGAGCAGGAAAGCAGGGGGACCGCAAGGCCUUGCGCUCUUUGAGCGGCCGAUGUCAGAUUAGCUAGUUGGUGAGGUAACGGCUUACCAAGGCGACGAUCUGUAGCGGGUCUGAGAGGAUGAUCCGCCACACUGGAACUGAGACACGGUCCAGACUCCUACGGGAGGCAGCAGUGGGGAAUUUUGGACAAUGGGGGCAACCCUGAUCCAGCCAUGCCGCGUGAGUGAAGAAGGCC